rnacentral:lncRNA from 1 species
UUUCAAGGUUUGCAUAGCAUUGAUUAUACAUAUUUCCUUGUUAGGGUGCUGAGAAGCCAGUCUAUAAUUCAAGCCUAUUCUUUAACCCUACUUAUAAUGAAUAUUAAAAAUUUAGAUACAAGUGAGGGAGUUUAUUUACUUUUUUUAAAUAAUCCAUUAAUAGGGGGAUCUUCCCCUCAACAGCUAUAUGGAGUCCAAACUGCUGAGUCCCUACCCAAGGCAAUCACCACUUCCCUCUGUAGGUACCAUAAGCCACAUGUAAUGUGACAUUGCACUCCUUGGAUCAUCAAGAGUAGAUACUAACACUAAGUGCCAUGUUUCUGUAAUCCUUAGUGAUGUAAAAAAUAAACCCCUCCAGUCAUCAAUGGGAGAUAUUAUUAACAUUUUGGGUAAGAACAAUUGUGUGUUCCUAGUUCCUCAAUCUUAAAUGCUGCUAACAACACACUCCUUAGUUACUAAAGUCAAAAAUACCGACUGAUUCAGUUUCCCCUGGUGUGGGGUGAAUAGUACCAAAGAACCAACAACAAUUGAAUACCAUUAAGUGUCUGUUCAAUCCCCAUUGUGUUCAGUUUUCCUGUCCCUUUCUACUAUCUUCCAAGUAGCCCUAUAAAACAGUAGUAAACAAAUACCAUUGUUGAAAGUUUCCUUUACUCUGUGGUGGUCUUGACUGGCACCUGACCUUGACUGAUGCCUGGUUCUUCAUUUGUACUUCUUUCAAAUGGAUGGUAUUUAUUCUUCUAUUCCUCCACAUUUUCUAAUGUCC